GGACUACUGGGGUAUCUAAUCCUGUUUGCUACCCACGCUUUCGUGCCUCAGUGUCAAUAAUCGCAUAGCUAGCUGCCUUCGCAAUUGGUGUUCUAUGUCAUAUCUAAGCAUUUCACCGCUACAUGACAUAUUCCGCUAACCUCUACGACAUUCAAGAUAUAUAGUAUCAACGGCAGUUCCCAAGUUAAGCUCGGGGAUUUCACCACUGACUUACAUACCCACCUACGCACCCUUUAAACCCAGUGAAUCCGGAUAACGCUUGCACCCUCCGUAUUACCGCGGCUGCUGGCAC
rnacentral:rRNA from 1 species